AGUGAACGCUGGCGGUAGGCCUAACACAUGCAAGUCGAACGGCAGCACAGUAAGAGCUUGCUCUUACGGGUGACGAGUGGCGGACGGGUGAGGAAUACAUCGGAAUCUACUUUUUCGUGGGGGAUAACGUAGGGAAACUUACGCUAAUACCGCAUACGACCUACGGGUGAAAGCAGGGGAUCUUCGGACCUUGCGCGAUUGAAUGAGCCGAUGUCGGAUUAGCUAGUUGGCGGGGUAAAGGCCCACCAAGGCGACGAUCCGUAGCUGGUCUGAGAGGAUGAUCAGCCGCACUGGAACUGAGACACGGUCCAGACUCCUACGGGAGGCAGCAGUGGGGAAUAUUGGACAAUGGGCGCAAGCCUGAUCCAGCCAUACCGCGUGGGUGAAGAAGGCCUUCGGGUUGUAAAGCCCUUUUGUUGGGAAAGAAAAGCAGCAGGUUAAUACCCCGCUGUUCUGACGGUACCCAAAGAAUAAGCACCGGCUAACUUCGUG
rnacentral:rRNA from 1 species